rnacentral:SRP_RNA from 1 species
GAGCCCGGUCACGUGGGCCUGUAAUCCAUGAACGUUGAUUCUGGUCAGCUGACCGGGUCUUGUUUGGCUAAUUUGUGGCCUGCCCGUUCCAAGCCAAGAGCCGAGCCGUGUGAUACAGGCGCAGGCGCGGAUCACUCGGCUCCUAGAGCUGAGGGGCAAAGCGUGAGGCUAGGUUUCACAGAGCAGCGAUAACCUCACUCUCCUGGCAGUGGAAGGAUAACGGGCUGGUGCCACCUGGACUCAUAUGGUCUGAUGGGCCGGAU